rnacentral:rRNA from 1 species
CCUACGGGUGGCAGCAGUGGGGAAUAUUGGGCAAUGGGCGCAAGCCUGACCCAGCAACGCCGCGUGAAGGAAGAAGGCCCUCGGGUUGUAAACUUCUUUUGUCAGGGACGAAGAAAGUGACGGUACCUGACGAAUAAGCCACGGCUAACUACGUGCCAGCAGCCGCGGUAAUACGUAGGUGGCAAGCGUUAUCCGGAUUUACUGGGUGUAAAGGGCGUGUAGGCGGGAUUGCAAGUCAGAUGUGAAAUUCCAGGGCUCAACCCUGGACCUGCAUUUGAAACUGUAGUUCUUGAGUGAUGGAGAGGCAGGCGGAAUUCCGUGUGUAGCGGUGAAAUGCGUAGAUAUACGGAGGAACCCCGAUUGCGAAGGCAGCCUGCCGGGGUGCGACUGACGCUGAGGCUCGAAGGUGCGGGUAUCAAACAGGAUUAGAUACCCGUGUAGUC